ensembl:rRNA 5S_rRNA 5S ribosomal RNA
GUCUACGGCCAUACCACCCUGAACGCGCCCAAUCUCGUCUGAUCUCGGAAGCUAAGCAGGGUCGGGCCUGGUUAGUACUUGGAUGGGAGAAAUGAGCAAAUAUCAGCAAUCUCGUGGUUC